UCUUUUUAAUGUGGAGUGUGUGGAAAAAAAUAAAAAGUAUGGCGGUCUUUAAUCUUGUCAGAGGGACAUGUGUUGAAAACGAAUUUGCACGAAGAUCUGUCCUAAUUUUGAAUGGUUCAUUAUGUACACCGCUGUCUGAAAGAAAUUGUAAAAGUAUUUUCUUCCUUCCUUUAAGGAAAUAAGGCAAGUUAAGGUGCAGGUUAUAAUUAGGUGAUAUGUGUUCCAAUAUGAAAUUAUAGACAAGUGGUUGAAAAUAACUUGGAAAAAGAAUUUGAUAGUAAAAUCAGGUUAAUAAACUAAUUUGAAAAAGAGCUAUAAAAGGUGU
rnacentral:rRNA from 2 species